rnacentral:rRNA from 1 species
CCUACGGGAGGCAGCAGUGAGGAAUAUUGGUCAAUGGGCGGGAGCCUGAACCAGCCAAGUCGCGUGAGGGAAGACGGUCCUAUGGAUUGUAAACCUCUUUAGGCGGGGAGCAAUGCCGGGCACGUGUGCCCGGAGGGAGAGUACCCGCAGAAUAAGCAUCGGCUAACUCCGUGCCAGCAGCCGCGGUAAUACGGAGGAUGCGAGUGUUAUCCGGAUUGAUUGGGUUUAAAGGGUGCGUAGGCGGAUUUGUAAGUCAGCGGUAAAAUGUCCGGGCUGAACCCGGGCCGGCCGUUGAAACUGGGGAUCUUGAGUGGGCGAGAAGUAUGCGGAAUGCGUGGUGUAACGGUGAAAUGCAUAGAUAUCACGCAGAACUCCGAUUGCGAAGGCAGCAUACCGGCGCCCGACUGACGCUGAGGCACGAAAGCGUGGGGAUCGAACAGGAUUAGAUACCCUUGUAGUC